UCCUACUUAUACUUCUCCCUAAUACUGGGACACACAAAUCCCCUCUUGAAGCUUAGGGCUACAAUUUUCUUCAUCGUCUGAUAAUCCUCAGUUUAUAUUUUCUCUAGUUAUUUUUGUUAACUGGAAACAAAGCCUGUUAACACUAACAUGUGUUAGUCCAUUAGUGAAAGUUUUCACAUAUUUAUUCAGUUAGUUUGAGCUGAUAAAGACAACUUUGGAAAUUUUUCCUUUGUUCCUGAAAAUAACAAAUAUGAAGAACCCCCACUUGCUGGUUUCUACAAUAGAUUCCGGCACUUUUAAAAUUGAACAUAAAGUGUUUUCCAUUGAGGCUCUACACUGGAAAGCAAAUUAUUUGAUGAGCAUGUGUUUCUUAAAGCAAACAAAUGAUGUGACAGUGCUAACUAGCCUGUACAUAUUUUUCCUUAGUGCGUGUUAAUCAAUUUGCCUACUGGAUAUAUAAAAUAUAUGUGAUGGUUAAUACUGAGUGUCAACUUGGAUUAGAUUGAAGGAUGCAAAUUAUUGAUCCUGGAUGUGUCUGUGAGGGUGUUGCCAAAGAAGAUUAACAUUUGAGUCAGUGGACUGGGACAGGCAGACCCACCUACCAGCUGGGUGGGCACCUUCUAUUCAGCUGCCAGCAAAUAUAAAGCAGGCAGAAAAACUUGAAAAGGCUAGACUGGCUUAGCCUCCCAGCCUACAUCUUUCUCCCAUUCUAGAUGCUUCCUGUCCUUGAACAUCAGACUUCAAGUUCUUCAGUUUUGGGACUUGGACUGGCCCCUUGCUCCUCAGCUUCCCAAUGGCCUACUGUGGGACCUUGUGAUCAUCAUGUGCUGUUCUCUCUGUGGACAUGUCUCUGGCUACCUGAAGGCAUCCAGCAUGUGAAAAAACAACUCAGACCACACAUUUUCCACCUAUGUUCUUCGGGAUGUGCUGGAGAUGAUAUGUGAAGAGAAAGAGACUCAGCUUAAGACCCGACAAUUCCGCUGAGCAAUUCUGGGAAGAGAAUGAAAAACAUUUUGUUGAUGAGAAUCUGUAUUCAUCAGUUUUUGUACAAGACUAAGAACUCGGCAUGCUUUUACAUUGGAAAUUUGGUAAUUAAUAUCAGCAUCCUGAUUUUCCAUUGGGGAGUAAGUCAACCUUCCUUGGAUAGUAGCAUAGGGACCUUUAUUGUACAUAAGUAACCUGGACUUGGACAGAGUCAAUGAAUUUAUCCACGAAUGGGUAUCUGCCUUCAGUCCAGUGAAAAUCAACCAGGUACUUCUGUACAGCCCGAGGGGGAAUAUGUCCUUUUCUCUGCCUGAAGUUGCCCAUGGUCAUGUUUGUGAUUAUACGGGGUAAACUGAGAAUAAAAUAAUCACAUACAAAAGAAGAAUCAAAAAAAUGAGAUAUGAUCUUGAUAACCUAAUUUAAACUCUAAGUAAUUCUCAUAACAGGAUUUAGUGAACAUUCUAACCCUUUUCCAACAACCCAUCCUGCUACAUGCCUUUAUCAUAAAAUAGCUUCAUAUAUAAAAGCGUCAUGUUAAAGUUAGUUUUACUUUUCCACUUAUAUAGAUUUAAAUAUAUUUUAUUGAAUUAUUAAAACUUUACAAAGUUGGGGCUAAUCCUAGCUCUUGUUUAUACAAUUUUAAAA
rnacentral:lncRNA from 1 species